rnacentral:misc_RNA from 1 species
AAGAGACGUUGCCCUUCGGGGUAUACCUCCCACCCUUUGUUUAUCAUACCUUUGUUGCUUUGGCGGGCCCGUCCUCGGACCACCGGCUUCUGCUGGUCAGUGCCCGCCAGAGGACCUAAAACUCUGUUUGUUAAUAUUGUCUGAGUACUAUAUAAUUAGUCA